rnacentral:misc_RNA from 1 species
AAGUCGUAACAAGGUUUCCGUAGGUGAACCUGCGGAAGGAUCAUUAAAGUGUUUCGGAGCCUGGCUCGGGCAUCUCACCUCGAGGUGUCGGUGUCAGCGCCCCCACACGUGUUUACUCAACUUGGUUGCUUUGGUGAGCCUGCCCUCGUGGCUGCCGGGGAUGCCUCACGGCGUUCCGGGCUCGUGCUCACCAGUGGAACAUUUGAACUCUUCUGUGAAAAUAGUCAGUCUGAGCAUUAUGCAAAUUAAAUAAAACUUUCAACAACGGAUCUCUUGGUUCCG